AUUGAACGCUGGCGGCAGGCCUAACACAUGCGAGUCGAACGGUAACAGGAAGCAGCUUGCCGCUUCGCUGACGAGUGGCGGACGGGUGAGUAAUGUCUGGGAAACUGCCUGAUGGAGGGGGAUAACUACUGGAAACGGUAGCUAAUACCGCAUAACGUCGCAAGACCAAAGAGGGGGACCUUAGGGCCUCUUGCCAUCGGAUGUGCCCAGAUGGGAUUAGCUAGUAGGUGGGGUAACGGCUCACCUAGGCGACGAUCCCUAGCUGGUCUGAGAGGAUGACCAGCCACACUGGAACUGAGACACGGUCCAGACUCCUACGGGAGGCAGCAGUGGGGAAUAUUGCACAAUGGGCGCAAGCCUGAUGCAGCCAUGCCGCGUGUAUGAAGAAGGCCUUCGGGUUGUAAAGUACUUUCAGCGGGGAGGAAGGGAGUAAAGUUAAUACCUUUGCUCAUUGACGUUACCCGCAGAAGAAGCACCGGCUAACUCCGUG
rnacentral:rRNA from 1 species